rnacentral:tRNA from 1 species
GCCGACAUACUCAAGCGGUCAACGAGGCGGUUUUUGUAAAGCCGUGAGCAAUCUUCGCAGGUUCGAAUCCUGCUGUCGGCUCCA